rnacentral:tRNA from 1 species
CUCGGCGCUGGUGGAAAACGGUAUCGCCACCGUUCAAGCCGGUGCUGGCGUAGUCCUUGAUUCUGUUCCGCAGUCGGAAGCCGACG